CCCAACGGCCGUCCGGUGGGGGCGGGGCCUGUCAUGGCCGCCUCUAGAGUCAAUUCUAGGAACCCUGAGGAUGAACUGACCCUUUUAUUCACUAUUCCACAUGGAGCUGCAAACCCAUCAGAUGGAACCAUGUGAUCAUUGUGGCUGCCAGCUGACCCCACAGCCACCUUCUGCCUCCCUUGGACCCAUCCAGGAAUUUCUGAGCCUUCUUUAUGUUUUGCAGGAUGAAGAACAGGAGACAUAAUGUCAAAAUGAUGGAAAACAUCAAAUUAACUGAAGUUUAUUGGAGGGUCCUCUCAUACCCAUGUUCAAGAAAGGCAACUGAUGUAUGUUGUCGUGAAAUGGUUCACAGCUGGAAAGGAAUUGUGCCAAAGGACGAAACGUACCUCUAGUCUCAUCCACACUCAAUUUAGAAGAGAUUUAGAUUCUGAGAUGUCUGCCCCUGUCAACAUUGCAUCUGCCUCCUCAGGGAUCACCUCCUGAUCUAUUCCUCCACCACUGUUGCCUUCCUGGUCUACUGGCUGACCUUGAGAUGGGCUGAAGAAUGCCCUUGAAGUCCCACUCAGCCGCAGCCUCCCAAACACAGUGCAAGAGCCUUCUCUCUCUCCAUCUUCUGCUUUGUCACUUGAGCAGCUUGGAGCUUCUAGUAGGAAGUGGCUUCCUGCAGAUGAACCUGGGAAGAUCUGAGGGGAGUGACCGCAGAGCACAUAUUGAUGGAGGAACUGUGGACUGGAAAAACUCACCGGGCAGGAGAGAUGGGGCUGGAAUUCUGUUCCUGGUUCUGCUGGAGAGAAAGUGUCGGUCAGAAUCACCACAGGUACCUUGUGGAUGGUAACACUUGUCCAGCAGUCAUUCCUCAGAUGUUCCCACAACAAAGAUUUCCUUCACAGACCUACCUUUCAUCCCAGGGUGACACAUUAAUGUACAUCCUUUUACAACACAUAAAACGCACACAAUGAGCCAGCUCUAAAUAUCAGCCCAGCUUAAAUAGUUUUAAGAAAGCAUCACAGGCAGCUCUAGCCCUAUAAAUUGCUGCCAUUAGAGUUAUACAUCUGCCCCCAAUACAAUUAUCUUACAAGCCACAGUCAUUAACACUGAUGUAAACAAUAUCUACAAAUAUAUGCUUUUACUGAAAGUUAAACUACAUAACUUAUUACAAAUUUCUUUAGGGACAUUUCCUACAAGAAAGGAUGGAGUCAAAAAAGGGAGUCACUCCACCUAGAGGCCCCAUGGUGGAGGCAACAGAGAGGACAGGUCAGAGACCCAUGUGGGAAAUGAACUGGAAGGUGUUUCCCCCAUCCUAAACAAGUAUUUCCUAGAGCAUUAUGCAGUGGGUUCUCUAUCUGGGAGUGUGAAUUCAGCAGUAAAACACAAAAACAUAGUCUAGGCCUGCAACCCCUUAAAGGAUUUUGACUCUUCCAAGACCUGCUUUUCGCAGUGUUUUUUUUUUAACUGUUGUAAAUGGAAAAAUUUCCACCUAAAAUAGCUCUAACAGAUAUCAAAUUUGUAUGCCUUGCUCCAUUACCCUGCUUCUAUCUGCCAGAAGCUGAUGAAAAAUACCAUGAACCUUAAAUAAACUCAGUAUACCAGGCCUUUCCAGACCUACCUGAUUCUUUCUUC